UCUGUGAUCUAACAUCUAACCUAAAUUCACCCAAUAGGUACUUAUUCGAAUUUCAAUCAGCGAUGUAAACAAAGUUAUUGUAUUGUGAAACUGUUGCUCACCUAUUAUUUAUUGAAAAAUAACAAGAACCAACCAAAGUAUCGACGUUUAUGUAUCUAAUAGACAAGUUGUCUAAAAGCUGCUUUGGCAGUUAUGAAAACCCGCAAUAGAUUAGGUGACAAAUCCAUAAGAUGCCUCAUGUGUUUUAUAGAUCCUGGAUGGAAAAUUAUUGAAUCAAAUAGUGCUUGGAGACUUCUGAAUACUAAGAAACCGUAUUUUACUACUUUUCAUUUUGUGAUAACUUAUAGUGAUUUAAUUUGUGUUUCCAUUUUCAAAUAGUUAAUAUUUUAAGUUCUUUUAUACAAUAAGUUUGAUAAAUAAAAGUGCUUUUAGCAAGGUUCCUUCUCAUAUCAA